AUUGAACGCUGGCGGAAUGCUUUACACAUGCAAGUCGAACGGCAGCACGGACUUCGGUCUGGUGGCGAGUGGCGAACGGGUGAGUAAUGUAUCGGAACGUGCCCAGUCGUGGGGGAUAACGUAGUGAAAAUUACGCUAAUACCGCAUACGAUCUAUGGAUGAAAGCGGGGGAUCGCGAGACCUCGCGCGAUUGGAGCGGCCGAUAUCAGAUUAGGUAGUUGGUGGGGUAAAGGCCCACCAAGCCAACGAUCUGUAGCUGGUCUGAGAGGACGACCAGCCACACUGGAACUGAGACACGGUCCAGACUCCUACGGGAGGCAGCAGUGGGGAAUUUUGGACAAUGGGCGAAAGCCUGAUCCAGCCAUUCCGCGUGCAGGAUGAAGGCCCUCGGGUUGUAAACUGCUUUUGUACAGAACGAAAAGGUUUCUGCUAAUACUAGGAGCUCAUGACGGUACUGUAAGAAUAAGCACCGGCUAACUACGUGCCAGCAGCCGCGGUAA
rnacentral:rRNA from 1 species